rnacentral:rRNA from 1 species
AUCGCAAAAUCAUCACCGGUGGAAACCCUACCGAAAAUAUCCUCCAAUUUUUGCCGUCAUUCGCGGAAAGGAAGGAGAUAGCGGCUGCGUCGGUGCCGAAUUCCUUGCCUGCGUGGCCGCGCCCACAAUUCGGGAUGCUCGAGGGCGAUGUCGUGUCCGGCGUCGAUCUACCCCGCUAUGCUCGUUGAGUAUGUGGUGCCGCUGUCCUUGAAGGCAUACGUCCUAGCCAUGGUGAUGGGGGCUGCAUGGGCCGUUGCCAUUGAUGGCAGGCGCUGUGGCCGGGAAACGGCGGCUGCGCGUGCUACGGUGACGGUGGGUCGGGAGACGGCCUCCGCGCUGAAGACGGAGGCUGAGCGGUUUCUAUGUGCUGGAGUUUGCUCCGGCGGCAUGGAGAGGAGCUGCAGCCGGCGCAUCGCAAAGGGAUGGAGGCCCCCUUCAUCCAGUCACCGAUUAUAUGUGGACUUACAGUUUGGUCGAUGAGGAUGGCGUGAAAGAUGGCUGCUCCACUCCGGGUAUGUUUGAUACGAGCAUACAAAACCUUUGCCGUUGCGUCCCAACCUCUACUGUAUAUAUGAAUGGAUAAAAUGUUGCCUGUCGAUCGGCGGUGGAGGGCCAAUGGGAGUGGGAACGAAGUUCACAGGCGGUGGUGCCAUGACCCUCUUCGAGCCAGGACGGCCCAUCCUGGGUCCCAUCGCCAUGAGCGCCAAGACUCUAUUCCUCUUCAACACGACUCAUGGUUCAGAACGCAGAAUGUUUUUUAUAGCAUGGUAUAUGGCGGGAAAUAGAAGCACUGGAAUUUUGUAUUGGCAUGGUAUAUAGACGUAUAUUGACUGAUCUGACUAUUUUCAUUUUCAUUGGCGUGAAGUAAAUCAUGGUGAUAGAAAAAGGAAGUGAUUGAAAGAAGGAAGGAGAUUGAUCACCGUUUGAUUGAAAGAAGGGAUGAGAUUGAUCACCG